GCCCUUUGUAGCUUAAUGGCAGAGCGUUUGUUUCAACAAAGGUGAUGGUUCAAUUCCGUCCGUGGGCA
rnacentral:tRNA from 1 species